rnacentral:rRNA from 1 species
GACGAACGCUGGCGGCGUGCCUAAUACAUGCAAGUAGAACGCUGAAGAGAGGAGCUUGCUCUUCUUGGAAGAGUUGCGAACGGGUGAGUAACGCGUAGGUAACCUGCCUUGUAGCGGGGGAUAACUAUUGGAAACGAUAGCUAAUACCGCAUAACAAUGGGUGACCCAUGUCAUUCAUUUGAAAGGGGCAACUGCUCCACUACAAGAUGGACCUGCGUUGUAUUAGCUAGUAGGUGAGGUAACGGCUCACCUAGGCGACGAUACAUAGCCGACCUGAGAGGGUGAUCGGCCACACUGGGACUGAGACACGGCCCAGACUCCUACGGGAGGCAGCAGUAGGGAAUCUUCGGCAAUGGGGGCAACCCUGACCGAGCAACGCCGCGUGAGUGAAGAAGGUUUUCGGAUCGUAAAGCUCUGUUGUAAGUCAAGAACGAGUGUGAGAGUGGAAAGUUCACACUGUGACGGUAGCUUACCAGAAAGGGACGGCUAACUACGUGCCAGCAGCCGCGGUAAUACGUAGGUCCCGAGCGUUGUCCGGAUUUAUUGGGCGUAAAGCGAGCGCAGGCGGUUUGAUAAGUCUGAAGUUAAAGGCUGUGGCUCAACCAUAGUUCGCUUUGGAAACUGUCAAACUUGAGUGCAGAAGGGGAGAGUGGAAUUCCAUGUGUAGCGGUGAAAUGCGUAAAUAUAUGGAGGAACACCGGUGGCGAAAGCGGCUCUCUGGUCUGUGACUGACGCUGAGGCUCGAAAGCGUGGGGAGCGAACAGG